AUACGUAGGGUGCGAGCGUUGUCCGGAAUGAUUGGGCGUAAAGGGCGCGUAGGCGGCCCGGUAAGUCUGGAGUGAAAGUCCUGUUUUUAAGAUGGGAAUUGCUUUGGAUACUGUCGGGCUUGAGUGCAGGAGAGGUAAGUGGAAUUCCUAGUGUAGCGGUGAAAUGCGUAGAUAUUAGGAGGAACACCAGUGGCGAAGGGGGCCUGCUGGACGACAACUGACGCUGAGGCGCGAAAGCGUGGGGAGCAAACAGGAUUAGAUACCCUGGUAGUCCACGCUGUAAACGAUGAAUACUAGGUGUGGGGGGACUGACCCCCUCCGUGCCGCAGUUAACACAAUAAGUAUUCCACCUGGGGAGUACGAUCGCAAGAUUGAAACUCAAAUGAAUUGACGGGG
rnacentral:rRNA from 1 species